GCUCAGAGGUAAGCAGGUGGAGUUGAACUGCAAGCUUUGAGAAUUCAGCUGGUGAGGUUGGUUUGGGCUUGGUCAAAUUGGUUGGGCCCCGAAGUACGUUAAACCACGUGUCCUUUCCCUUUGGGUUGGGAUGUGCGAUACACUUACCAAGUGUUGCACGCUUUGGGUGUUCAUCGAGCCUCCUUGUCAGUGCACUUUCUCAGAGUGGUCACCACGACCGACGCCGCUGUCAGGCUGUCAUAGUUAAACCGGUCUUGUAGUGUCCUUGUGGCAUUGCCUGGUCGGGAUGGCAGGUAGCUUGUUGGCUCGCUUCGGCUUGCUUUCGAGUGUAAUCAGCUGACUGUGACGGUUCUGUGCAGUGCGUCGGAGACGGCGGCCAGUGGUGUGUGCAUGCGUGCCCGAUUUGUUGGCGUACCCUGGUUUGGUUUCUGUGUUGCCUGUGAUAGCAGGCCUAGUUAUGGCUGGGGUUCGUUCGGCGAAUGGUUGCGUGUGUGGCACUUCCAAGGGCCAAUAGUCUGUGGUGUAGUGGUAGACUAUCCACCUGACCCGUCUUGAAACACGGAA
rnacentral:rRNA from 1 species